UAGGGAAUCUUCCGCAAUGGGCGAAAGCCUGACGGAGCAACGCCGCGUGAGUGAUGAAGGUUUUCGGAUCGUAAAACUCUGUUAUUAGGGAAGAACAAAAGUGUAAGUAACUAUGCACGUCUUGACGGUACCUAAUCAGAAAGCCACGGCAAACUACGUGCCAGCAGCCGCGGUAAUACGAAGGUGGCAAGCGUUAUCCGGAAUUAUUGGGCGUAAAGCGCGCGUAGGCGGUUUUUUAAGUCUGAUGUGAAAGCCCACGGCUCAACCGUGGAGGGUCAUUUGAAACUGGAAAACUUGAGUGCAGAAGAGGAAAGUGAAAUUCCAUGUGUAGCGGUUAAAUGCGCAAGAAUAGGGAGGAACACCAGUGGCGAAGGCGACUUUCUGGUCUUUAACUGACGCUGAUGUGCGAAAGCGGGGGGAUCAAACAGG
rnacentral:rRNA from 1 species